CUUUAUCCCUUUUAAACAUGCUUUCCUUCGCCUAUUUUUUUUUCUCUAGAGUCCAUAAUGGACCAAUAUGAAAAUGUGCCUGAGUCUCAACGGCAUUCACUUGGUGAAUAUGUGAACGUACUAGAGCCGGAACCGAUCGUACUAGAUCCUUGUUUUGUAGUUGGCACUAGUGAUCGGGAAAGUGAAGAUGAUGUUCCAGACUAUGAAAAUGUCUGUUUUGGACUUUGAGGUUGAAAAGAGGAUUUCAAAGGAUCAGUUUUGCAUUGGGGGAUCUAUUAAUCUUCGCAAAGGAUGGAUCACCAGCCAGGACACCUUCUCCUGAACAACUUCCAAUUUUGUCAUAUCCUAAGUUUUCUCCCUUGCACUUUGGAUGACGCAUCCUGAGAAUUUCUCCCAAUUAUCAGUAGCAGUAUUUUGAUGGACUUUUCCCAAAGCAAUUCAGUUUUGCUUUUAAGUUUGGUUGACUAAUAAAGAACCAAGA
rnacentral:lncRNA from 1 species